rnacentral:rRNA from 1 species
UGGGGAAUUUUGGACAAUGGGCGCAAGCCUGAUCCAGCAAUGCCGCGUGCAGGAUGAAGGCCUUCGGGUUGUAAACUGCUUUUGUACGGAACGAAAAAGCUCUCUCUAAUACAGGGGGUGAAUGACGGUACCGUAAGAAUAAGCACCGGCUAACUACGUGCCAGCAGCCGCGGUAAUACGUAGGGUGCAAGCGUUAAUCGGAAUUACUGGGCGUAAAGCGUGCGCAGGCGGUUUUGUAAGACAGAGGUGAAAUCCCCGGGCUCAACCUGGGAACUGCCUUUGUGACUGCAAAGCUGGAGUGCGGCAGAGGGAGAUGUAAUUCCGCGUGUAGCAGUGAAAUGCGUAGAUAUGCGGAGGAACACCGAUGGCGAAGGCAAUCCCCUGGGCCUGCACUGACGCUCAUGCACGAAAGCGUGGGGAGCAAACA